rnacentral:rRNA from 1 species
GACGAACGCUGGCGGCGUGCCUAAUACAUGCAAGUCGAGCGGACCAAAGGGAGCUUGCUCCUGGAGGUUAGCGGCGAACGGGUGAGUAACACGUGGGCAACCUGCCUGUAAGACUGGGAUAACAUCGAGAAAUCGGUGCUAAUACCGGAUAAUAAAAAGAACUGCAUGGUUCUUUUUUGAAAGAUGGUUUCGGCUAUCACUUACAGAUGGGCCCGCGGCGCAUUAGCUAGUUGGUGAGGUAACGGCUCACCAAGGCAACGAUGCGUAGCCGACCUGAGAGGGUGAUCGGCCACACUGGGACUGAGACACGGCCCAGACUCCUACGGGAGGCAGCAGUAGGGAAUCUUCCGGCAAUGGACGAAAAGUCUGACGGAGCAACGCCGCGUGAGUGAUGAAGGUUUUCGGUAGUCGUAAAAACUCUGUUGUUAGGGAAGAACAAGUGCCGUUCGAAAGGGCGGCACCUUGACGGUACCUAACGAGAAAGCCACGGCUAACUACGUAGCCAGCA